rnacentral:rRNA from 1 species
AACGCGUGGGUAACCUGCCCUGUACACACGGAUAACAUACCGAAAGGUAUGCUAAUACGAGAUAAUAUGCUUUUAUCGCAUGGUAGAAGUAUCAAAGCUCCGGCGGUACAGGAUGGACCCGCGUCUGAUUAGCUAGUUGGUAAGGUAACGGCUUACCAAGGCGACGAUCAGUAGCCGACCUGAGAGGGUGAUCGGCCACAUUGGAACUGAGACACGGUCCAAACUCCUACGGGAGGCAGCAGUGGGGAAUAUUGCACAAUGGGCGAAAGCCUGAUGCAGCAACGCCGCGUGAGCGAUGAAGGCCUUCGGGUCGUAAAGCUCUGUCCUCAAGGAAGAUAAUGACGGUACUUGAGGAGGAAGCCCCGGCUAACUACGUGCCAGCAGCCGCGGUAAUACGUAGGGGGCUAGCGUUAUCCGGAAUUACUGGGCGUAAAGGGUGCGUAGGUGGUUUCUUAAGUCAGAGGUGAAAGGCUACGGCUCAACCGUAGUAAGCCUUUGAAACUGGGAAACUUGAGUGCAGGAGAGGAGAGUGGAAUUCCUAGUGUAGCGGUGAAAUGCGUAGAUAUUAGGAGGAACACCAGUUGCGAAAGGCGGCUCUCUGGACUGUAACUGACACUGAGGCACGAAAGCGUGGGGAGCAAACAGGAUUAGAUACCC